UCACAGGAGUCACCACUGCUCUUGAUACCUGCAGACCUGUGACUUCAGCCCAGCUAAGCACUUCAUGAGCAUUCCAUUCUCAUCCAUCACAAUGAACAUUCUGAAUUUAACUUCCUUCCUUCCUUCCUUCCUCCCUCCCUCCCUGCCUUCCCUUCCUUCCUGCCUUCCUUCUUCCUUCCUCCCUUUUUUCUUUUCUCCCUUCCUUCCUUCUUAAUAUGUUUUUGGCCUUUUCUUUAUAUAUGUGGCCUAGCAAUAUCCUGUGUUUGGAAAACUAUAAACCUAAGGCAUCACCUUUACAGAAAAUAUCUUCCACGGAAACAUCUAAAUGAGGAAGUAAAGUUGCAUUCACAGGCCUUGAACUUUUCCACAUCUCGAUUUUUACCCAUCAUCUCUGCAUAGUUCCCUAAGGCAGCCUUCAAAAGGUGAUGUUUCUUAUAAUCCAGAGUUCAGAGGUGGCUUCUCUUCAAUCUUUCUGUGGAAUUCUAAACCACGUGAUAAAGGAGCUGGUGGUGAGACAUAAGGGAAGGCAGAGAUGAAAAGGAAUGGGCAGAAGCUUUUGGAAAGGAAUAACCACUGAGAUUGCCAUGAAAGAUUCAUUCUGACAUUCUUUUCAUGUAUUUAAUGCAAUCAAAAAAGAAUCCACAGCUAACCACGUAGCUAUCAAUUUAACAAUCC
rnacentral:lncRNA from 1 species